CGGAAUCGAACCAAAAUUUAGGGGCUGAAACUAUAAAUAAAUAAGAGUCAUUAAGGGCCGAUAUAAAACGUGCUUUAACAGUGAGGGACUGACUGGGAAAAUAUUCCCAAGCCCUAUACGCAGCAUUCCAUUGUGGACCAGAUUUGAGCAAACAGAAAAUUACACCGUGAAAUUAAAAAAGAGAAAAAAUGACGAGCGAGGACUAAAUUGCAAAGCUUCACGAAAGCGGAAGCAUCAAAGCGGUGAAAAGCCCCUUUUGUCUCAGAACGCGCAGACCCUUAGCGGGUCAAACUCGGGCGCGCGGGUCGGCCACCCCCGAAACGAAGCCGUUUUGGCAUCUAGGGGGCCGAAAUGAAACUGCGUCGUUUUAGUCCAGUCAUUUAAACCCAAAAAAAGAAAAUCUGUCACUAGCAGCCCAUUUUUUUUACCCUAAAAAGUAAACCCCCAUUCUCUCAACUCCCUCUUCCCCUUCUGGCCAUAGCCAACGCCGGUGAAUGGCCACGUCGCCGCCACGGUCAACGGGCAGUGACGAAAGGUUAAGCAUCCCCUUUUUAAGCUCGGUGGUCAGUGACCGGUGAUGAGAGGCCAAAUGAGGAAAAGAAAAAAUCUAGCCCCCUUUUAAGUCCGACUCCGAUGACGGCGAAGGGACCUCCGUCGAUGAGAUCGCGAGGCGAUUCCAGGUAAGAUUUUGCUUUCCUUUCCUUUUUAUUCUUUCUUAGAUAAAAUAAAUAAAUAAAUAAAAAUACAGCAGAAAAAAAGAUCGAAUAUCACAUUCAAAAAAUCAAUUCUUUUCUUUUCUUUUUUUUUGUAUUAAAUUUCGAAGAAGUUACAAUGGUUUCGUUUUCAGCCUUUAUAGGGUCGUUUGUCGUUAUUCUUUUUUGUCUUUUUCAUUUGUUUUUUUUGCUUUUGUUUGUUUAUUUUUUUCUCUACCAUUUUUUUCUUUUUUAGUUAUCUUCUUCUUGGGUGUUGUAGAUGGUAGCAGACACGUGGGUAGCAGCGAUAGGCGAACGGCGGCGGUGGCUAGGCGACGUUCGAGGAGGCUGGCGGCUAUGGGCAGACCUAGGUGCGGGGCACCUAGGGUUUCCUUUGGCUGAAUUUUUUUUUAGUUUUGGGCUAGGGUUUAGUUUGGGCUGAGGGUUAAUUUGUAUUUGGGCCUAGCAUAAUUGGGUUUGUUGUAAUUUUGGGAUUGUAUUUGUCUGAUUUGAGUGUGUUGGGCUCGAGCUAAAUUUGGGCUGUACAAAUAUGAGAUCUAUUAUAAAUAUCUUUUAAAAUCAAUUGAUUAAUCAUCACAAGAUAUUAAUAUAUUAAUUCUUUUGUAGUUUUCAACUAAUUUUGUACUACCAAAUAUUGAAAUAAUGUUGAUUUUAUUUUAUUUUAUGUUUGCAUUCAGUUCGGGGAAUGCAAUAGAUUUACUAGGACGAACUUAU
rnacentral:lncRNA from 1 species